GAUCAUGGCUCAGAACGAACGCUGGCGGCGCGUCUUAAGCAUGCAAGUCGGACGGCAAGGGUAGCAAUACCCCCUAGAGUGGCGGACUGGUGAGUAACGCGUGGGUGACCUGCCCUUGAGAUGGGGAUAGCCAUUAGAAAUAGUGGAUAAUACCGAAUACGCUCUAUGGACUAUGGUUUGUAGAGGAAAUCAGGCUACGGCCUGGCUCGAGGAUGGGCCCGCGUCCCAUUAGCUAGUUGGUGAGGUAACGGCCCACCAAGGCGACGAUGGGUAUCCGGCCUGAGAGGGUGUACGGACACAUUGGGACUGAGAUACGGCCCAAACUCCUACGGGAGGCAGCAGCUAAGAAUAUUCCGCAAUGGACGAAAGUCUGACGGAGCGACGCCGCGUGGAUGAAGAAAGGCCGAAAGGUUGUAAAAUCCUUUUGCUGAUGAAGAAUAAGUGGUGUAGGGAAUGACAUCAUGAUGACAUUAGUCGGUGAAUAAGCCCCGGCUAACUACGUGCCAGCCGCCGC
rnacentral:rRNA from 1 species